ACACGCUGGCGGCGUGCCUAACACAUGCAAGUCGAACGAGUUGUUUAAGGUAGCAAUAUUUUGAGCAGCAAGUGGCGAACGGGUGAGUAACACGUAGAUAAUCUGCCUUUCAGACGGGGAUAACUCAGGGAAACUUGUGCUAAUACCCGAUGAGACUACGGAGGGGGGACCUUCGCAGCCAAAGGUGGGCGAAAGCUCACGCUGGAAGAUGAGUCUGCGUCCUAUCAGCUAGUUGGUAGGGGUAAAAGCCUACCAAGGCGAAGACGGGUAGCCGGCCUGAGAGGGUGAACGGCCACACUGGGACUGAGACACGGCCCAGACUCCUACGGGAGGCAGCAGUGAGGUAAUUUUCCGCAAUGGGCGCAAGCCUGACGGAGCGACGCCGCGUGAGGGAUGACGGCCGUUCGGGUUAGUAAACCUUCUUUUAUUAAGGAAAAAGGCAAUCGUGCUAACACCACGGUUGUUUGAUGGUACUUAUUGAAUAAGCCCCGGCUAACUACGUG
rnacentral:rRNA from 1 species